rfam:Clostridium botulinum Ba4 str. 657 plasmid pCLJ, complete sequence.
GAGAACUAAUAUUCCAAGAUGUCGAAUGAAAGGGUAACGCCUUGAAAGGCACUACUAAUACUCCGAUAUGUGUCAUGUAUAUAAGAAACAUGAGAUAUAAAGCUCGGUGAAGACAGUUGAGAGUACACCGUAAGUAGAUGAAAAACCAUUCCUACCCGAAAUGCGAACCAGAGGUGGUCGAGUGUAUGAUAGACUGGGUAUCUAUAAA